rnacentral:rRNA from 1 species
GUUCUAUUUUGUGGGUUUCUGGAACCCGGGGCCAUGAUUGAGAGGGACGGCCGGGGGCAUUCGUAUUGCGCCGCUAGAGGUGAAAUUCUUGGACCGGCGCAAGACGGACGAAAGCG